AUACAUCACUACCCAUGUGGUCGUCUUUGGAGGUAUCCUCCCCUCAUUUGCAACCCCAUCAACCUCAAAUUCCCCCUUCUUCUGUUUCUUCAACAAAUUCGCAAACCCAAUAUAGUUUAUGAACUUAAGCAAGAUGAAGAUAAGAGUUGUUCAGCUCUUUGAACUUCAGCAAGACAAAGACUUCAAAGCAUCAUUUUUUGUCUUAUCAUCUAUAGUAAUAUAAUUGGUUACCGAUUACCAUGUCAUUGCUAAAUUAGCUACUGAUCAAAGUGGACUGCAGCAUUGUAAGGUUUCUUUAGUGACUGCUAAAGGAGAAAGCAUAGCUAAGGGAGCGAAGAUCGUAGGUGUUGAUCCAGCAUAUGAUCUGGCUUUUCUCAAG